rnacentral:rRNA from 1 species
GUGAGGAAUUUUCCGCAAUGGGCGAAAGCCUGACGGAGCAAUGCCGCGUGAAGGAUGAAGGCCUAUGGGUUGUAAACUUCUUUUCUUAGAGAAGAAUAUUGACGGUAUCUGAGGAAUAAGCAUCGGCUAACUCUGUGCCAGCAGCCGCGGUAAGACAGAGGAUGCAAGCGUUAGCCGGAAUGAUUGGGCGUAAAGCGUCUGUAGGUGGCUUCAAAAGUCUCCUGUCAAAGAUCAGGGCUUAACCCUGGGCCGGCAGGAGAAACUCUUAGGCUAGAGUUUGGUAGGGGCAGAGGUAAUUCCCGGUGGAGCGGUGAAAUGCGUAGAGAUCGGGAGGAACACCAAAGGCGAAAGCACUCUGCUGGGCCACAACUGACACUGAGAGACGAAAGCGAGGGGAGCAAAAGGGAUUAGAAACCCCAGUAGUCC